rnacentral:ncRNA from 1 species
GCUAAGGUAAUGAUUGGGUUAAAGCAGCGGCUAAGCUGCAGCAGAGAGCCGGUGGCAGGUGUGAACCGGCGCGGCAGCCGUUAGUAAAUCUCCCCCAUGAACUCUUUUGUUGAACUCAAAUAGGUGUGCAAGUAGACAAAAGCGACUUCCGGGCGUUAACCGGAGUGUAAGUAUAAUGUAGGGUGGUACCGCGAGUAAUUCGCCCCUAUU